rnacentral:rRNA from 1 species
UGCAGAGUCAUAUCUCACUGCAGCUCUCACCUGGUUUCCGGCAGGGCUGAGUCUGGUCAGUACCUGGAUGGGAGACCUCCUGGGGAAACUAAGGUUGCUGCUGGAA